rnacentral:lncRNA from 1 species
CAAGUUUAAACCAUAACCUGAACCAAUAGGAACUGGUGGAUCAUACACACAACAUGUAGAUAUCGGAGCAUUUGGUUCUAAACCAAUUCCUGUUACUCCUUUACAAGAAUAUAGUCCUCUACAUACAUUUGAACCCGAGCCGGUAUCACACAAAUCUUGUUUUGGAUCAAACACAGCAGAUGUUGUAGAACAUCCUAGUAAAACAAAGAUGUUUUCUUUCAUAAUGCUGAAGGGAGUUACACAACAUGUAGAUAUAGGAGCAUUUGGUUCUAAACCAAUUCCUGUUACUCCUUUACAAGAAUAUAGUCCCCUGCAUACAUUUGAACCCGAGCCGGUAUCACACAAAUCUUGUUUUGGAUCAAACACAGCGGAUGUUGUAGAACAUCCUAGUAAAAUAAAGAUGUUUUCUUUCAUAAUGCUGAAGGGAGUCGAAUGAUCCAACGUAAAACUGCCUGAGUUUUGCAUUGAUGAACAUGUUGACAUAAAGGGGUCUGUUAAAAUAAGUGUGUUGGUUGCGUAGUCUAGUGUGGAUAUAGCGUAAAUGCCAGUGCCAGUUGAAAACUGAAGUACACCAGAAGUGCAUUUUAUGAAUCUUGAAAAUGUAGGAUGUCCACAACCAAAUCCUGAACCAAAGGGAUAUCUUAGGACAAUGUUGCCACAUUUAUCAGUACAAGAACUAUUCAGUGGAAUAAUACUUGGAACAGCUUGAAGUGUAUGAAUAAGAAGAAAUAAGAGAAAAACUGGAAAAAUUUGUGUAUAAAAUGACAUUAUGAAAGGCGUAGAAGAGAGAGGUGUUUGAAAGCAGGGGAGAGUGAUUUUAGUUUAC